rnacentral:rRNA from 1 species
GACGAACGCUGGCGGCGUGCCUAAUACAUGCAAGUCGAACGCUUCUUUCCUCCCGAGUGCUUGCACUCAAUUGGAAAGAGGAGUGGCGGACGGGUGAGUAACACGUGGGUAACCUACCCAUCAGAGGGGGAUAACACUUGGAAACAGGUGCUAAUACCGCAUAACAGUUUAUGCCGCAUGGCAUAAGAGUGAAAGGCGCUUUCGGGUGUCGCUGAUGGAUGGACCCGCGGUGCGUUAGCUAGUUGGUGAGGUAACGGCUCACCAAGGCCACGAUGCAUAGCCGACCUGAGAGGGUGAUCGGCCACACUGGGACUGAGACACGGCCCAGACUCCUACGGGAGGCAGCAGUAGGGAAUCUUCGGCAAUGGACGAAAGUCUGACCGAGCAACGCCGCGUGAGUGAAGAAGGUUUUCGGAUCGUAAAACUCUGUUGUUAGAGAAGAACAAGGACGUUAGUAACUGAACGUCCCCUGACGGUAUCUAACCAGAAAGCCACGGCUAACUACGUG